CUGUAUGCCAGUAGUUAUACAAAAGGAGUUCUGUUCAAGGGACCUACAAUAUCCAGAGCAACCCUUUCCAGUGGAGCACCAACAAUAUAUUGGUUCAAUGGAGCCUUAGGAGUGCAGGUUGGUGGAUUGCUUGAUUGACAUCGUUGACAUUCCAGACAAAACUGUUUUAUUUCCAACCCAGUAAAACCUCUGUCUGACUUAGGCUAAAGUUCUGUUCACUCCUAAGUGUCCAUCUGUAGGGUCACUAUGCAACAUCGUUAGGACCUGAGGUAUAUAUUUUUCAGCUUCUUGAGAGAAAAAUGACGCAGCUCGUCAU